CCUACGGGAGGCAGCAGUGAGGAAUAUUGGUCAAUGGACGAGAGUCUGAACCAGCCAAGUCGCGUGAAGGAUGACUGCCCUAUGGGUUGUAAACUUCUUUUAUAAAGGAGUAAAACGCGGCACGUGUCCCUUCUUGCACGUACUUUAUGAAUAAGGAUCGGCUAACUCCGUGCCAGCAGCCGCGGUAAUACGGAGGAUACGAGCGUUAUCCGGAUUUAUUGGGUUUAAAGGGAGCGUAGAUGGGUUGUUAAGUCAGUUGUGAAAGUUUGCGGCUCAACCGUAAAAUUGCAAUUGAUACUGGCAGUCUUGAGUACAGUAGAGGUAGGCGGAAUUCGAGGUGUAGCGGUGAAAUGCGUAGAUAUCACGAAGAACCCCGAUUGCGAAGGUAGCUUACUGGACUGUGACUGACAUUGAUGCUCGAAAGUGUGGGUAUCAAACAGGAUUAGAUACCCCAGUAGUC
rnacentral:rRNA from 1 species